AAGUCGUAACAAGGUCUCCGUUGGUGAACCAGCGGAGGGAUCAUUAAAGAGUGUAAUAACUCCCAAACCCAUGUGAACAUACCUCAUGUUGCCUCGGCAGGUCGCGCCUCCCUCGUAGGCCCUACCCCGUAGGCUCCUACGCGGAAGGCGCGGGUACCCCUGCCGGUGGCCCACGAAACUCUGUCUCAUCGUUGAAUUCUGAACCUAUAACUAAAUAAGUUAAAACUUUCAACAACGGAUCUCUUGGUUCUG
rnacentral:misc_RNA from 1 species